AGGGUUUGAUCAUGGCUCAGAACGUACGCUGGCGGCACGCCUAACACAUGCAAGUCGAACGAAGUAGCAAUACUUAGUGGCAGACGGGUGAGUAACAUGUAGGUAUCUGCCCUUUGGCCUGGAAUAACACGAGGAAACUUGUGCUAAUACUGGAUAAGUCUUUACAGAGAAAGCUUUAUGCACCAUUGGAUGAGCCUGCACUUGAUUAGUUUGUUGGUAGGGUAAUGGCCUACCAAGACUGUGAUCAAUAGCUGAUUUGAGAGGAUGAUCAGCCACAUUGGGACUGAGACACGGCCCAAACUCCUACGGGAGGCAGCAGUGGGGAAUCUUGCACAAUGGAGGAAACUCUGAUGCAGCGAUGCCGCGUGAGUGAAGAAGGCCUUUGGGUUGUAAAGCUCUUUCGUCGGGGAAGAAAAUGACUGUACCCGAAUAAGAAGGUCCGGCUAACUUCGUGCCAGCAGCCGCGGUAAUACGAAGGGACCUAGCGUAGUUCGGAAUUACUGGGCUUAAAGAGUUCGUAGGUGGUUGAAAAAGUUGGUGGUGAAAUCCCAGAGCUUAACUCUGGAACUGCCAUCAAAACUUUUCAGCUAGAGUAUGAUAGAGGAAAGCAGAAUUUCUAGUGUAGAGGUGAAAUUCGUAGAUAUUAGAAAGAAUACCAAUUGCGAAGGCAGCUUUCUGGAUCAUUACUGACACUGAGGAACGAAAGCAUGGGUAGCGAAGAGGAUUAGAUACCCUCGUAGUCCAUGCCGUAAACGAUGUGUGUUAGACGUUGGAAAUUUAUUUUCAGUGUCGCAGCGAAAGCGAUAAACACACCGCCUGGGGAGUACGACCGCAAGGUUAAAACUCAAAUGAAUUGACGGGGACCCGCACAAGUAGUGGAGCAUGUGGUUUAAUUCGAAGAUACGCGCAGAACCUUACCAACACUUGACAUGUUCGUCGCGACUUUAAGAGAUUAGAGUUUUCGGUUCGGCCGGACGAAACACAGGUGCUGCAUGGCUGUCGUCAGCUCGUGUCGUGAGAUGUUGGGUUAAGUCCCGCAACGAGCGCAACCCUCACUUUUAGUUGCCAUCAUUAAGUUGGGCACUCUGAAAGAACUGCCAGUGAUAAGCUGGAGGAAGGUGGGGAUGACGUCAAGUCCUCAUGGCCCUUACGUGUUGGGCUACACACGUGCUACAAUGGUAUCUACAACAGGAAGCAAAACUGCGAUGUUAAGCAAAUCCUUAAAAGAUACCUCAGUUCGGAUUGCACUCUGCAACUCGAGUGCAUGAAGCUGGAAUUACUAGUAAUCGUGGAUCAGCGUGCCACGGUGAAUGCGUUCCCGGGUCUUGUACACACCGCCCGUCACACCAUGGGAGUUGGUUCUACCUUAAGGCAAGGUUUAAUACCCUUGACCACGGUAUAGUCAGCGACUGGGGUGAAGUCAUAACAAGGUAGCCGUA
rnacentral:rRNA from 1 species